GACAGAGGUCCCGAGCGUUAGGCGGAAUCACUGGGCUUAAAGCGUGUGUAGGCGGACUUCUAAGUACCUUGUGAAAUCCCACGGCUCAACCGUGGAACUGCUUGGUAUACUGGUUGUCUUGGGCCAUCUAGGGGCGAGCGGAACAAACGGUGGAGCGGUGAAAUGCGUAGAUAUCGUUUGGAACGCCAAUGGUGAAAACAGCUCACUGGGGAUGUGCCGACGCUGAGACACGAAAGCCAGGGGAGCGAACGGG
rnacentral:rRNA from 1 species